rnacentral:misc_RNA from 1 species
AUCAAAAUUGAGGUUUCAUGGAGAUUUAAAUGUGUAAUUGAGCUCGUAUGUGGCGUUGCUGUACAAUUCUAAAUAAACAUGAGCUUUAGCUAGAAAUGGUUUAAUUCUGAUUAUGUAGGGUAAAAUUAUCGCAAGUGAUUAUGUUUUGAGUGCUAAUGCAAAAGUAUCUGGAAUUUAUUGUUGUUCUUUUAAAACUUGUCUGGCAAGGGUAUGUAGUUUGAGUGUUUCCCCAUUUGAAUAAUUUGCUUUGAAAUGAUUUGUCAAGCUUGAAUAAUUUAUACCUUAGUUUACGGAACUAGCUGUCACUGUCAGGUGUGAUAAGAAUCUGUUCAUCUUGGUUGAGGGUAUUCAAGAUAUAUUUAUGAUUUUGUUAAUGUCAAAGUAUCUCAGU